UAUCAAUUGGAGGGCAAGUCUGGUGCCAGCAGCCGCGGUAAUUCCAGCUCCAAUAGCGUAUAUUAAAGUUGUUGCAGUUAAGAAGCUCGUAGUUGAAUUUCUGCCUUAUCAUUAAUUUCGCUUCCGAACGUAAUUUUAUUGAUUUGGCAUCUUCUGGAUUUAUAUUUUUAUUAAUAUUUUUCCAGUAUUUACUUUGAGAAAACUAGAGUGUUUCAAACAGGCUAUUGCCUUGAAUACUACAGCAUGGAAUAAUGAAGUAGGACUUUGGUUCUAUUUUGUUGGUUAUCGAACCAUAGUAAUGGUUAAUAGGAGCAGUUGGGGGCAUUCGUAUUUAACUGUCAGAGGUGAAAUUCUUAGAUUUGUUAAAGACGAACUACUGCGAAAGCAUUUGCCAAGGAUGUUUUCAUUAAUCAAGAACGAAAGUUAGGGGAUCGAAGACGAUCAGAUACCGUCGUAGUCCUAACCAUAAACUAUGCCGACUA
rnacentral:rRNA from 1 species